UGAGUUUGGCACAUUUGGCAGCGGCCUCCUCCACUGACCUCUUCCUCUUGAACCUGCCUCUUCAGGCUCUAUGGACCCAACCAACUCCAUGUGGGAGGAGGGGGAACUCCCUCCGAUGGUACAGCCCAUCUGAGGGCGUGGUCAGGCAGAAGCUGCGCUGUGAACUUGGAGAGAAGUGAACUAACCGGACAAUUGUCAGUUGUUGUUUUUCGACUGGCCCAAAAGUGAAGUGAAAGUGAAGCGGCCCAACGGGAAUCCACCCCCCCCCCCCCCCCCCCGCUACUAACAGACGCACAGUUGAUCAGGCGGAGAUAGAGCGACUCCGUAGGCUGAGACUUCCGAAGACAAACGAACUGCGCUGUAUUUGUCUGAAUUCGUUAGUUUCCACUCCCAUGGCGAUGUUCUCCUCCUGUUUUGGAUGCUACAGCUCACCUCAGCCCAGAUCUCUGUGAGAUGGUGUCUUCAGCUCAAGAAAACUGCUAACCUGUCCUUCAAAAUGAAAUCAACGAGAAAAUCUUUGGCGGCUGCAUCUGUGUUGUUGAUAUUUUUGAUCAACGUCUUCAGUGGGAACACUCUGACCUGUCAUCCAGAGACAGAGUAUCCGAUAGGGGAUGAAUGCUGUCCUCUGUGUCCGCCGGGGAAACGUGUGAAAACGGACUGCACGGAGUACAGGAGCACUUCCUGUUUGCCCUGUGUGAACAGGACCUCCUUCACGACUCAUCCCAAUGGACUUAGAGAGUGUUUUCCCUGUGCGAGUUGCGGUUCAGGUUCCGGACUGAAGAUAAACAGUUUGUGCACAACAACAUCAGAUACAGUUUGUGAACCUAUGGAAGGAUUCUACUGUAUAGACAGAACAGGGGGCCGCUGUGUGGAAGCAAGGAGACACAAAAAAUGUGUCUCAGGACAGUACAUCAGACAUACAGGAACAGCCCUCACAGACACUGAGUGCUCUGACUGCAGUGAUGGGACUUUUUCAAAUGGGAAAUCUACAUCUUGUCAACCACACACACAAUGUGAAUCAUUGGACCUUCAGCUGAUAAAACCUGGAACUGUGUCGACUGAUGCUGAAUGUGGAAAGGACUACGAUUCAACUAAUGUGGUCGCCAUUGUAGUGUCUUUUUUAUUAAUUUGUGUUGUUUUACUUUUUUUACUCUUUUUUUUCUGGAAGAACAAAAGACGUCUAUUUGGCAAAAUAAGAAGUGCAGCGAUUCCCACAGAGCAAAACGCAGCUGGAAGAGAAGGCGAGAACAUGGUGGAUAUGACAGAGGGAACAGUAGCAGGGUUCGUCGCCACUUUCACGACCCCUGCGUCACGCUGUCAAACCAAGGAGUACCGAGCCCGUGAUGGGCCGUGCUGCCCCGUGCCACGGAGGCGCGACACGUCACGGAGGUGCGACGAGGAACGAGGGACGUGUCCACUGAUCCGCACCCUGUCCACAGUUUGACUCCAUGGAAGAAAUCAGAAGUACUGGUUCAAUUCAAUUUCAACUCAAUUUUACUUGUUUAGCGCCAAAUCCUAAAAUACAUCAUGUCAAGGCACUUGUAGUGAGGUCGAGACCAGAAUAUUACAGAGGAAGCCAACAGUUCUCACAAGGAGCAGCACUUGGUGUCUGUAGAACUCAAUUUUAACAGGAUCCUGUGGAAAUAUAGGAAUUUCUCCACUGAUGAUAUUCGUCAGUAGCCAGGCUGUUGCAGUACAUCCAUGCAAUACAGGUUACCAUGGUGAAACCAGUCUGACGAUACAGUGGAACCUGAGUUUAGCCCAAAGAUAGCGGGUUAAACCACAAAUCCUGCGUCCUGGUACGGGCCCUUGGACUUGAUGCCGCAACAGUUAAUUGAUUAGUAAUCAACCACUAAAUUCAUUGAUUUGAUGGAUUAAUCGGUUCAGGUACCGUUGUCACCGACUGUGACAAUGGAACUUAUAUGGACCGACCCAACCGUCUAAAUAAGUGUCUCUCCUACACUUCCUGUGUCCAAGCUAAUGGUCUUUUUGCCCGGCAUAACUGCACAGCAACAACUGACGCUGUUUG